AGAGUUUGAUCCUGGCUCAGGAUGAACGCUGGCGGCGUGCUUAACACAUGUAAGUCGAACGGACCUUCGGGUUAGUGGCGGACGGGUGAGUAACGCGUGAGAAUCUGCCCUCAGGAGGGGGAUAACAGCUGGAAACGGCUGCUAAUACCCCAUAUGCCGCGAGGUGAAAUGAAUUUCGCCUGAGGAUGAGCUCGCGUCUGAUUAGCUAGUUGGUGUAGGUAAUGGCUCACCAAGGCAUCGAUCAGUAGCUGGUCUGAGAGGAUGAUCAGCCACACUGGGACUGAGACACGGCCCAGACUCCUACGGGAGGCAGCAGUGGGGAAUUUUCCGCAAUGGGCGAAAGCCUGACGGAGCAACGCCGCGUGAGGGAUGAAGGCCUCUGGGCUGUAAACCUCUUUUAUCAAGGAAGAAGAUCUGACGGUACUUGAUGAAUAAGCCACGGCUAAUUCCGUGCCAGCAGCCGCGGUAAUACGGGAGUGGCAAGCGUUAUCCGGAAUUAUUGGGCGUAAAGCGUCCGCAGGCGGCCCUUCAAGUCUGCUGUUAAAAAGUGGAGCUUAACUCCAUCAUGGCAGUGGAAACUGAGGGGCUUGAGUGUGGUAGGGGCAGAGGGAAUUCCCGGUGUAGCGGUGAAAUGCGUAGAUAUCGGGAAGAACACCAGUGGCGAAGGCGCUCUGCUGGGCCAUCACUGACGCUCAUGGACGAAAGCCAGGGGAGCGAAAGGGAUUAGAUACCCCUGUAGUCCUGGCCGUAAACGAUGAACACUAGGUGUCGGGGGAAUCGACCCCCUCGGUGUCGUAGCCAACGCGUUAAGUGUUCCGCCUGGGGAGUACGCACGCAAGUGUGAAACUCAAAGGAAUUGACGGGGGCCCGCACAAGCGGUGGAGUAUGUGGUUUAAUUCGAUGCAACGCGAAGAACCUUACCAGGGUUUGACAUCCUGCGAAUCUCUUGGAAACGAGAGAGUGCCUUCGGGAACGCAGUGACAGGUGGUGCAUGGCUGUCGUCAGCUCGUGUCGUGAGAUGUUGGGUUAAGUCCCGCAACGAGCGCAACCCACGUCUUUAGUUGCCAGCAUUUAGUUGGGCACUCUAGAGAGACCGCCGGUGAUAAACCGGAGGAAGGUGUGGAUGACGUCAAGUCAUCAUGCCCCUUACAUCCUGGGCUACACACGUACUACAAUGCUACGGACAAAGGGCAGCAAGUUCGCGAGGACAAGCAAAUCCCAUAAACCGUGGCUCAGUUCAGAUCGUAGGCUGCAACUCGCCUACGUGAAGGAGGAAUCGCUAGUAAUCGCAGGUCAGCAUACUGCGGUGAAUACGUUCCCGGGCCUUGUACACACCGCCCGUCACACCAUGGAAGUUGGCCACGCCCGAAGCCGUUACUCCAACCCUUGUGGAGGAGGACGUCGAAGGUGGGGCUGAUGACUGGGGUGAAGUCGUAACAAGGUAACC
rnacentral:rRNA from 1 species